rnacentral:rRNA from 1 species
CCUCUUUUAAAAGUUCAAAUUUAAAAAGAAAUCUACGACCUCNAUGUUGAAUUAAUUUACCUAUNACAAUGAAAGAGUUUAAUAAGGAGGUCUGUUCGACCUAUAAAAAAUU